GGGUUGUGAGGUUAAGCGACUAAGCGUACACGGUGGAUGCCCUGGCAGUCAGAGGCGAUGAAGGACGUGCUAAUCUGCGAAAAGCGCCGGCGAGGUGAUAUGAACCCUUGACCCGGCGAUGUCCGAAUGGGGAAACCCAGUGCAAUCCGUUGCACUAUCGUUAACUGAAUACAUAGGUUAACGAGGCGAACCGGGGGAACUGAAACAUCUAAGUACCCCGAGGAAAAGAAAUCAACCGAGAUUCCCCCAGUAGCGGCGAGCGAACGGGGAGCAGCCCGGAGUCUGAAUCAGCUUGUGUGUUAGUGGAACGGUCUGGAAAGUCCGACGGUACAGGGUGAUAGUCCCGUACACGAAAGCACACAUGCUGUGAACUCGAAGAGUAGGGCGGGACACGUGGUAUCCUGUCUGAAUAUGGGGGGACCAUCCUCCAAGGCUAAAUACUCCUGACUGACCGAUAGUGAACCAGUACCGUGAGGGAAAGGCGAAAAGAACCCCGGCGAGGGGAGUGAAAAAGAACCUGAAACCGUGUACGUACAAGCAGUGGGAGCCUCUUUAUGGGGUGACUGCGUACCUUUUGUAUAAUGGGUCAGCGACUUAUAUUCUGUAGCAAGGUUAACCGUAUAGGGGAGCCGAAGGGAAACCGAGUCUUAACUGGGCGUUAAGUUGCAGGGUAUAGACCCGAAACCCGGUGAUCUAGCCAUGGGCAGGUUGAAGGUUGGGUAACACUAACUGGAGGACCGAACCGACUAAUGUUGAAAAAUUAGCGGAUGACCUGUGGCUGGGGGUGAAAGGCCAAUCAAACCGGGAGAUAGCUGGUUCUCCCCGAAAGCUAUUUAGGUAGCGCCUCGUGAACUCAUCUUCGGGGGUAGAGCACUGUUUCGGCUAGGGGGCCAUCCCGGCUUACCAACCCGAUGCAAACUACGAAUACCGAAGAAUGUUAUCACGGGAGACACACGGCGGGUGCUAACGUCCGUCGUGAAGAGGGAAACAACCCAGACCGCCAGCUAAGGUCCCAAAGUCAUGGUUAAGUGGGAAACGAUGUGGGAAGGCACAGACAGCCAGGAUGUUGGCUUAGAAGCAGCCAUCAUUUAAAGAAAGCGUAAUAGCUCACUGGUCGAGUCGGCCUGCGCGGAAGAUGUAACGGGGCUAAACCAUGCACCGAAGCUGCGGCAGCGACACUAUGUGUUGUUGGGUAGGGGAGCGUUCUGUAAGCCGUUGAAGGUGUGCUGUGAGGCAUGCUGGAGGUAUCAGAAGUGCGAAUGCUGACAUAAGUAACGAUAAAGCGGGUGAAAAGCCCGCUCGCCGGAAGACCAAGGGUUCCUGUCCAACGUUAAUCGGGGCAGGGUGAGUCGACCCCUAAGGCGAGGCCGAAAGGCGUAGUCGAUGGGAAACAGGUUAAUAUUCCUGUACUUGGUGUUACUGCGAAGGGGGGACGGAGAAGGCUAUGUCAGCCGGGCGACGGUUGUCCCGGUUUAAGCAUGUAGGCGGAGGUUCCAGGUAAAUCCGGUACCUUGUUAACGCUGAGGUGUGAUGACGAGGCACUACGGUGCUGAAGUGAUAAAUGCCCUGCUUCCAGGAAAAGCCUCUAAGCAUCAGGUAACACGAAAUCGUACCCCAAACCGACACAGGUGGUCAGGUAGAGAAUACCAAGGCGCUUGAGAGAACUCGGGUGAAGGAACUAGGCAAAAUGGUGCCGUAACUUCGGGAGAAGGCACGCUGAUGUGUAGGUGAAGCCCCUGCGGGCGGAGCUGAAAUCAGUCGAAGAUACCAGCUGGCUGCAACUGUUUAUUAAAAACACAGCACUGUGCAAACACGAAAGUGGACGUAUACGGUGUGACGCCUGCCCGGUGCCGGAAGGUUAAUUGAUGGGGUUAGCGGCAACGCGAAGCUCUUGAUCGAAGCCCCGGUAAACGGCGGCCGUAACUAUAACGGUCCUAAGGUAGCGAAAUUCCUUGUCGGGUAAGUUCCGACCUGCACGAAUGGCGUAAUGAUGGCCAGGCUGUCUCCACCCGAGACUCAGUGAAAUUGAACUCGCUGUGAAGAUGCAGUGUACCCGCGGCAAGACGGAAAGACCCCGUGAACCUUUACUAUAGCUUGACACUGAACACUGGUCCUUGAUGUGUAGGAUAGGUGGGAGGCUUUGAAGCGUGGACGCCAGUCUGCGUGGAGCCAACCUUGAAAUACCACCCUUUAAUGGCUGGUGUUCUAACGUAGACCCGUAAUCCGGGUUGCGGACAGUGUCUGGUGGGUAGUUUGACUGGGGCGGUCUCCUCCCAAAGAGUAACGGAGGAGCACGAAGGUUGGCUAAUCCUGGUCGGACAUCAGGAGGUUAGUGCAAUGGCAUAAGCCAGCUUGACUGCGAGCGUGACGGCGCGAGCAGGUGCGAAAGCAGGUCAUAGUGAUCCGGUGGUUCUGAAUGGAAGGGCCAUCGCUCAACGGAUAAAAGGUACUCCGGGGAUAACAGGCUGAUACCGCCCAAGAGUUCAUAUCGACGGCGGUGUUUGGCACCUCGAUGUCGGCUCAUCACAUCCUGGGGCUGAAGUAGGUCCCAAGGGUAUGGCUGUUCGCCAUUUAAAGUGGUACGCGAGCUGGGUUUAGAACGUCGUGAGACAGUUCGGUCCCUAUCUGCCGUGGGCGCUGGAGAAUUGAGGGGGGCUGCUCCUAGUACGAGAGGACCGGAGUGGACGCAUCACUGGUGUUCGGGUUGUCAUGCCAAUGGCACUGCCCGGUAGCUAAAUGCGGAAGAGAUAAGUGCUGAAAGCAUCUAAGCACGAAACUUGCCCCGAGAUGAGUUCUCCCUGAGACUUUAAGUCUCCUGAAGGAACGUUGAAGACGACGACGUUGAUAGGUCGGGUGUGUAAGCGCAGCGAUGCGUUGAGCUAACCGAUACUAAUGAACCGUGAGGCUUAACCUUACAACGCCGAAGGUGUUU
rnacentral:rRNA from 1 species